rnacentral:lncRNA from 1 species
GCCCCGACGAACAGCCCCCACGUCCUAGCUUAUCCCAGGCUAGCUUUUAGUUGAGCUCUCCUUUAAAGCCUGGACCUGGACACAGGAACCACAGGCGCUGCAGCCAACAAUUUCGCGCACUGUAGACGUAGUAGCCAAUCAGAAGGCGCAGCUGUAGGGGCCGGGGUGGGAUCAACCCGUGACUCGCGGUGACUCCCUAGCAGGGAGCGGGGAGAGCGUCUCCAUCUGUUGGACCUUGCGCUUUCCAGGCAGGCACCGGAACCACUGAGCUAAAUCCGAGGCAACCUGUCUCUUCUUUGAGCAGAUCCCCCUAGCCUGCCCAAGCCAGACUUCAAGGCUUCGAAGGAAAAGCUGCAGAAGUUGGAUGAGGAGGGACAGCUCUGUCACCUGGGAAGAGUUUGCCAAAAUGAAGCAGGAGCUAGAAGGGAAGUUGCUGACUUUUUUGAGCCUGAAAGGACCUUCCUGCUGGGAAUACCACACCUACAUCUGAGAUGCCUGCCUGUGGGCAUGUCAUGUGCUCUCCCAAGUGUAUGAAGGUCCCCUGCCUUAAGUUCUCCCCACUGCCUCCUUAGAGCUUCUUCAAAUUGGCAGAGCUCUUUGAAUGACUCAGGAUCUCAUGGGCUUCAGGUCUUGCUGGGUCUCCUUCCAGGACUGAAGCUCAAACAUGCCAAGUCACAGCUCAAAGGCCCACCAGGCAUAUCCUCGACAUGACAUUAAGAUCAGAUCCCGGGGACACAAAGAGAGGUAUCCCUGCAGCUCUACAGCCCUUCUUCCUGUGGCAGCAGGAUCUCCAUGGGAAGGUACAAGACCCAGAACUUGGAACCUAAGAAGUCAAGGCUAACCCCUCCUCCACAGGCCCUAGCAAGGACCACAGGUUAAAUUUUCUACAUCUAUUUCCUGACCAGGAAAAUGAAACUACCCUGUCUUGGCUCUCCCCAGUGCUUAAGGAGAUAAGAAACCAGAUGUAACUUCAGAUGGCCCUUUGCCAUACGGGACAAGGUUUAAGCCCCACAUUUCCAGCCCAUUUCACCCCACUGGGAUGCUAGACUUCUUGGUUGCUUGUGCCUGCUGGGUAAAGCCCAAAGUACAGGCUAGAGACAGCCCACAGCAACUGUGACAAACGCUCAGGACCCUGG